CAGCAGCCGCGGUAAUACGGAGGGGGCUAGCGUUGUUCGGAAUUACUGGGCGUAAAGCGCACGUAGGCGGCUUGGUAAGUUAGAGGUGAAAGCCCGGAGCUCAACUCCAGAAUUGCCUUUAAGACUGCCGAGCUAGCAGGUGAGAGAGGUAAGUGGAAUUCCGAGUGUAGAGGUGAAAUUCGUAGAUAUUCGGAAGAACACCAGUGGCGAAGGCGGCUUACUGGCUCAUACUGGACGCUGAGGUGCGAAAGCGUGGGGAGCAAACAGGAUUAGAUACCCCCGUAGUCCCUGUCUCUUAUAC
rnacentral:rRNA from 1 species